GACGAACGCUGGCGGCGUGCUUAACACAUGCAAGUCGAACGAUGAAGUUCCUUCGGGAAUGGAUUAGUGGCGAACGGGUGAGGAACACGUGAGAAACCUGCCUUUCAUUUUGGGAUAACUCCGGGAAACCGGGGCUAAAACCGAAUACUCCGUCUCGGCGGCAUCGCUGAGCCGGGAAAAAAUUUUGAUGAAAGAUGGUCUCGCGGCCUAUCAGCUAGUUGGUGAGGUAAUGGCUCACCAAGGCAACGACGGGUAGCGGGCCUGAGAGGGCGACCGGCAACACGGGGACUGAGACACGGCCCAGACUCCUACGGGAGGCAGCAGUGGGGAAUAUUGGGCAAUGGGCGCAAGCCUGACCCAGCGACGCCGCGUGAGGGAUGAAGGCCUUCGGGUUGUAAACCUCUUUCAGUAGGGAAGAAGCGAAAGUGACGGUACCUAAAGAAGAAGCACCGGCUAACUAUGUGCCAGCAGCCGCCGCAG
rnacentral:rRNA from 1 species